rnacentral:rRNA from 1 species
GAUGAACGCUGGCGGCGUGCCUAAUACAUGCAAGUCGAGCGAACAGACGAGAAGCUUGCUCCUCUGACGUUAGCGGCGGACGGGUGAGUAACACGUGGAUAACCUACCUAUAAGACUGGGAUAACUUCGGGAAACCGGAGCUAAUACCGGAUAAUAUAUUGAACCGCAUGGUUCAAUAGUGAAAGACGGUCUUGCUGUCACUUAUAGAUGGAUCCGCGCUGCAUUAGCUAGUUGGUAAGGUAACGGCUUACCAAGGCAACGAUGCGUAGCCGACCUGAGAGGGUGAUCGGCCACACUGGAACUGAGACACGGUCCAGACUCCUACGGGAGGCAGCAGUAGGGAAUCUUCCGCAAUGGGCGAAAGCCUGACGGAGCAACGCCGCGUGAGUGAUGAAGGUCUUCGGAUCGUAAAACUCUGUUAUUAGGGAAGAACAAAUGUGUAAGUAACUGUGCACAUCUUGACGGUACCUAAUCAGAAAGCCACGGCUAACUACGUG